AUUUGGCAUGGUGGUGGAAACUCAAACAUUUAAUAAAGAAGCUUGAACAAGACAACAGCAGAGACGAACUGAAAAUCAGACACUUAAAUGAACUGAAGGAAACUAUAAAAACAGGGACCACAAGAGAUAAGGGGAUCUCACCACAGACUUGAUGCUGCCCAGCACUGCUGUGGUCAGUAUCCCUGUGAAGAAGGCCACCAGGUUCAGACCAGCGAGG